CGCGUGCGCGAUGGGGCCACCGAGCGCUGACAGGGGCGGAGCUGCGAACCCAAGCAGGGUUGGCACCUUCGUGGCGGCGACGCGCGGCGGCGCGGCAGCUGGACAUCCCCCGCGGGCAGGGCACAUGUUCCUGGACCAGAUGAAGCUUGAGGAGCCUUCCAGCUGUAAGAUCUCAGGAUAGGAGAACUCCCAAGUCUCCAUCUGCAGGAGGCUUGCCCUGCCUCUUCACCAUGUCAGGAAGCCACAUACCUUCUGCCAGUGGCCCAUUCUCAGCCCUGACUCCCAGCAUGUGGCCCCAGGAGAUCCUGGCCAAGUACACACAGAAGGAAGAGGCAGUGGAGCAGCCAGGCAUCUGCUAUGAUGAGUUCGGUUUCCGCAUGGACAAGGAAGACGGCGACCCCCGGCCGGGCCGGCUGCUGGACGACCCCCCGCAGAGGCUGCGCUGGCAGGCCCACCUCGAGUUCACGCACAACCACGACGUGGGCGACCUCACCUGGGACAAGAUUGCCGUCUCCCUGCCCCGCUCCGAGAAGCUCCGCGCCCUGGUGCUGGCCGGCGUCCCCCACAGCAUGAGGCCGCAGCUGUGGAUGCGGCUCUCGGGGGCCCUGCAGAAGAAGCGGAGCUCCGAGCUGACCUACCGCGAGCUCGUGAAGAACAGCUCCAACGACGACACCAUGGCUGCCAAGCAGAUCGAGAAGGACCUGCUCCGCACCAUGCCCAGCAACGCCUGCUUCGCCAGCGAGAGCAGCGUCGGGGUCCCGCGCCUGCGCAGGGUGCUCCGAGCGCUGGCCUGGCUCUACCCGGAGAUCGGCUACUGCCAGGGCACCGGCAUGGUGGCUGCCUGCCUCCUGCUGUUCCUGGAGGAGGAAGACGCCUUCUGGAUGAUGUGUGCCAUCAUCGAGGACCUGCUCCCUGCCUCCUACUUCAGCACCACCCUGCUGGGUGUCCAGACAGACCAGCGGGUCCUGCGCCACCUCAUCGUCCAGUACCUGCCUCGCUUGGACAAGCUGCUGCAGGAGCAUGACAUCGAGCUGUCCCUCAUCACGCUGCACUGGUUCCUCACGGCCUUCGCCAGCGUGGUGCACAUUAAGCUGCUGCUGCGCCUCUGGGACCUGUUUUUCUACGAGGGCUCCCUGGUGCUGUUCCAGACCACGCUGGGCAUGCUGCGCCUCAAGGAGGAGGAGCUGAUCCAGUCGGAGAACUCGGCCUCCAUCUUCAACACGCUGUCAGACAUCCCUUCGCAGAUGGAGGACGCGGACCUGCUGCUGGGCGAGGCCAUGCGGCUGGCCGGCUCCCUCACCGACGUGGCCGUGGAGACCCAGCGCCGCAAGCACCUGGCCUACCUCAUAGCGGACCAGGGCCAGCUCCUGGGCACCAGCACCACCACCAACCUCUCCCAGGUUGUCCGACGCAGAACCCAGCGCAGGAAGUCUGGCAUCAGCUCGCUGCUGUUUGGGGAGGAUGACCUGGAGGCGCUCAAGGCCAAGAACAUCAAGCAGACGGAACUGGUGGCCGACCUCCGGGAAGCCAUCCUGCGUGUGGCACGUCACUUCCAGUGCACAGACCCCAAGAACUGCAGUGUGGAGCUGACCCCAGACUACAGCAUGGAGAGCCACCAGCGGGACCACGAGAACUACGUGGCGUGCUCGCGCAGUCACCCGCGCCGGGCCAAGGCCUUGCUGGACUUCGAGCGCCACGACGAUGACGAGCUGGGCUUCCGCAAAAACGACAUCAUCACGAUCAUCUCCCAGAAGGACGAGCACUGCUGGGUCGGGGAGCUGAACGGCCUGAGAGGCUGGUUUCCAGCCAAGUUCGUAGAGGUCCUGGAUGAGCGGAGCAAGGAGUAUUCCAUUGCCGGGGACGAUGCUGUGACAGAGGGGGUCACAGACCUUGUGCGAGGGACCCUCUGCCCGGCCCUUAAGGCCCUGUUUGAACACGGGCUGAAGAAGCCUUCCCUGCUCGGGGGCGCCUGCCACCCCUGGCUCUUUAUCGAGGAGGGUCGCCAGGCAGCCUCGGUUGGGGGUGGCGGAGUGGCCCGAACCCACCAGACAGUGUUGGCAGCUUCCGUGCCCCCCCCCCUGCCUCCAGGUUGGAUGAAGACGGCAAAGUCCUCACCCCGGAGGAGCUGCUCUACCGGGCUGUGCAGUCGGUCAACGUGACCCAUGAUGCUGCACACGCACAAAUGGACGUCAAGCUCCGCUCUCUCAUCUGCGUGGGUCUCAACGAGCAGGUGCUGCACCUGUGGCUGGAGGUGCUCUGUUCCAGCCUGGCGACUGUGGAGAAGUGGUACCAGCCCUGGUCCUUCCUGCGCAGCCCCGGUUGGGUCCAGAUCAAGUGCGAGCUGCGCGUCCUCUGCUGCUUUGCCUUCAGCCUCUCCCAGGACUGGGAGCUUCCUGCCAGGAGAGAGGAGGAGAAGAAGCCCCUGAAGGAGGGUGUCCAGGACAUGCUGGUGAAGCACCACCUCUUCAGCUGGGACAUAGACGGGUGACGCUCUUCCUCCGGGGACCCCCAUCACACCCAGGCCUCCUCCAACCCCUUGGCUACUGGCGCCCCUUCCCCAAGCGAGAUGAGAACAGCCGGGCCCUGGCCAGUCUCCGGCCCAUUUUGGGGUGGGGUCUGAGGUGGCCCAGGCGCCCCCCUCCCCCCAGCUGCAGGGUCAAAGGGAGGACGAGCUCGGGGAGCCCUGGCUGGACUCCAUGGUGGGAGUCUGGGGACACGGCCCUGGGCACCCAGUGCUGUUGGGCGGCGGGAGCAGGUGGGGGCGGGCUCGGCCCUGGGCCAUUGCUCACUGUGCCCAAUGAAAACCUUGGGGUGGUGGAGCCCCCUCUCUGUUCUGUCAGUUCUGCUCAGGAAGGGGAUAGGCGGGUAAAGGCUCCCUGGCCUCUUUGAUUUAUAAAUAAACUGUCUUUGAGAAAGCAGCUGUCUUCUGUUCAGCCAGGGCUGCAGCGCUGCAUGCCCAAGGUUCCACUCUUCCCAGAGUGAUCCAGAAUGCCCUA